UGCCUGUACACUUCCUCAAAUAUAACCACUGCAUUUAAAGACGAUGUAUUCGGAGUGAAUCCUCUUUGUAAUGGUGAUUGGUUCUUCAGUAAAACUGGUCUAAAAUUAAUUCUUGCAAUAUAUUCCAAAAUUUUACAUAGUAUAGAAAGUACUACAAUUCCUCUGUAGUUUUUAGAUUCAUUUUUGUUUCCUUUAUUCUUG
rnacentral:lncRNA from 1 species